AGCGAACGCUGGCGGCAGGCCUAACACAUGCAAGUCGAACAAACUCUUCGGAGUUAGUGGCGGACGGGUGAGUAACACGUGGGAACGUGCCUUUUGGUUCGGAAUAACUCAGGGAAACUUGUGCUAAUACCGAAUGUGCCCUUCGGGGGAAAGAUUUAUCGCCAUUAGAGCGGCCCGCGUCUGAUUAGCUAGUUGGUGAGGUAACGGCUCACCAAGGCGACGAUCAGUAGCUGGUCUGAGAGGAUGACCAGCCACACUGGGACUGAGACACGGCCCAGACUCCUACGGGAGGCAGCAGUGGGGAAUCUUGCGCAAUGGGCGAAAGCCUGACGCAGCCAUGCCGCGUGAAUGAUGAAGGUCUUAGGAUUGUAAAAUUCUUUCACCGGGGACGAUAAUGACGGUACCCGGAGAAGAAGCCCCGGCUAACUUCGUG
rnacentral:rRNA from 1 species